rnacentral:rRNA from 1 species
ACGGAAUAGAUACCCCGGUAGUCCACGCCCUAAACGAUGUCUACUAGUUGUUGGUGGAGUAAAAUCCAUGAGUAAACGCAGCUAAACGCGUGAAGUAGACCGCCUGGGGAGUACGGUCGCAAGAUUAAAACUCAAAUGAAUUGACGGGGGCCCGCACAAGCGGUGGAUUAUGUGGAUUAAAUUCGAUGCAACGCGAAAAACCUUACCUGGCCUUGACAUGUAACGAACUUUCCAGAGAUGGAUUGGUGCUCGAAAGAGAACGUUAACACAGGUGCUGCAUGGCUGUCGUCAGCUCGUGUCGUGAGAUGUUGGGUUAAGUCCCGCAACGAGCGCAACCCUUGCCAUUAAUUGCCAUCAUUUAGUUGGGCACUUUAAUGGGACUGCCGGUGACAAACCGGAGGAAGGUGGGGAUGACGUCAAGUCCUCAUGGCCCUUAUGGCCAGGGCUUCACACGUAAUACAAUGGUCGGUACAGAGGGUUGCCAACCCGCGAGGGGAGCCAAUCCCAGAAAGCCGAUCGUAGUCCGGAUUGUAGUCUGCAACUCGACUAC